rnacentral:rRNA from 1 species
GUCCAGACUCCUACGGGAGGCAGCAGUGGGGAAUAUUGCACAAUGGGGGAAACCCUGAUGCAGCGACGCCGCGUGAGUGAAGAAGUAUUUCGGUAUGUAAAGCUCUAUCAGCAGGAACGAGACAAGACGGUACCUGACUAAGAAGCCCCGGCUAACUACGUGCCAGCAGCCGCGGUAAUACGUAGGGGGCAAGCGUUAUCCGGAAUCACUGGGUGCAAAGGGAGCGUAGACGGCUGUGCAAGCCUGAAGUGAAAGGCGGGGGCCCAACCCCCGGACUGCUUUGGGAACUGUACGGCUGGAGUGCAGGAGAGGUAAGUGGAAUUCCUAGUGUAGCGGUGAAAUGCGUAGAUAUUAGGAGGAACACCAGUGGCGAAGGCGGCUUACUGGACUGUAACUGACGUUGAGGCUCGAAAGCGUGGGGAGCAAACAGGAUUAGAUACCCCUGUA